rnacentral:rRNA from 1 species
UACGAAGGGGGCUAGCGUUGCUCGGAAUCACUGGGCGUAAAGGGUGCGUAGGCGGGCCUUUAAGUCAGGGGUGAAAUCCUGGAGCUCAACUCCAGAACUGCCUUUGAUACUGAAGAUCUUGAGUUCGGGAGAGGUGAGUGGAACUGCGAGUGUAGAGGUGAAAUUCGUAGAUAUUCGCAAGAACACCAGUGGCGAAGGCGGCUCACUGGCCCGAUACUGACGCUGAGGCACGAAAGCGUGGGGAGCAAACGGGG